rnacentral:rRNA from 1 species
ACAAUGCGGGACUGUUAGUCUUGCAAUUGGAUUGAGAACAACGUACAACUCUUAUCGAUAAGCCAUUGGAGGGCAAGUCUGGUGCCAGCAGCCGCGGUAAUUCCAGCUCCAAUAGCGUAUAUUAACGUUGUUGCAGUUAAAAAGCUCGUAGUUGAAGUGAGGGAGUGUGUGGGUAUGAGAGCUAGUCUCAAGUACUUACAACCUCCCCCCUCCAAUCGGUGUAGUGGGGUAUUCACUUAUUCUACUACUCCUUUGGUCGUUUACUGUGAGAAAAUUAGAGUGUUCAAAGCGGGCGUUUGUUUGAAUAGAUUAGCAUGGAAUAAUGAUUGAAGGCUUUCGUGUUCGAUUUGAUUGGUUUGUUCAUGGAAGCAAGGUUAAAAGGAACAGUUGGGGGUAUUCAUAUUCACUAGUUAGAGGUGAAAUUCUCGGAUUUAUGGAAGAUGAAC